GCGGCGGUGUCAUCAACGGUGACGAGCGGGGGAGCGGAUAGUUGGGGGGAGUCAGGUGUGUCGCUCGUGCUUCGAGCCCGCGUGCAAUCCCGCAACAUCCACACAUUUUUUUCGUCUCGAAAUUGUAGCGCACCAUUGAACAGAGUGGGAUUCCCCUGUCGAAAUUGUAGGUUCAGAUUUGUGUGUAGCGCAUCACAAUUCAGAGGAAGACAAUUUUAAUGGUUUUUCACAGCAUGUUUGUUAGUAUCCAGGGGGUGGUGGUGGUGGUGGUGGUGUGUCUUAGUUGUAAUUUUUUCAGUUCACAGGGAUGUAGGCAAUUUUGUCAACGUUUUAGGCACUUAUGCAGUAUUAGUGUCUCCAGUAGCAGGCGAGUUUUAUAAACACUUGCCCAGCAUGAGUAGGAAUAGUUUGCAGCAAUGGAGGGGGCAAGUUUGGUUGGAACGUAUUGCUGGUUUGUGUCAUUGUGUGUGUGCUUCAGGUCUGUGUCUUUUAACUAUAGUUGUGUGGUUGCCUGGACUCUUUUUGGCAGUCUGAUGAUAUGCAAAGCCACAACGGCUUGACUGAAUCUUGGGUUACAGCUUCUGGUGAUGAAAUUCCAUGAAGUUCUAACAACUUUUGAUUCAUUUUCAUCAUUUCAUAAUCUGAAUUGUGGGAAUUUGUGUUUCGUCAGGGACAAGCAACUUCAGACUGCUCUUAAAACUAUACAUGUCAUGACAGAUUGAAGCAGUUACGCCGAAGCAAGUCUCUUCUCGACCUACUCAAGUCCAAACCAUUACGCCGAAACUAUGUAGUUAGCUUCAGACUGCUCUUAGAAGUCCAGAAAGAAAAAUGUAGGCAUUUUUGUUCAGCGGUUAGGCACUUUUAUGCACAAUAGUUUUUCUAGUAAGCUGGCAAGUUUUCACAAAACUCGUGUCCAGCAUGAGUAGGCAUUUUUUUGCAGCAAUGGAGGGCAACAUUAGAGAGGCAAGUUUUUUCAUGUGAGCAGGCAUGGGGUUCAGUGUUUAUGUAGGCAGGGUGUUUCAGUUAACUACAUAGUUUUACUUCUCGACUUUUUACAUUUUUUUCUUUUUGUUCUCUCCGCAGGAAAAAUAGUGAAACUAGGCAAGGACAUCUUUUUCCGGCAUCCCUGUCCCGGCAGUUUUUAAGAUGGUGAUGACUUCCCAAAUCAUCACGAUGGCAAGGGAGCAGUAAGAACAGACACCGCAGCUGGGGACAAUGAUAGGGGAUUACAAGGUCGUAGGUGCACAAGGAGGAAGCAAUUCAGGGAGGAAGGAAUAGAGCAUCGCACGCAAGGCUGGUUAAGCUAAACAAGAGCCUGGAGCAGCCACAAAGGGAUCUAAUUGAAAGUUACUUCUUAGGAGGUAUGCUAAAGAUUGAGGCAAGACAAUGCCAGCAGAUCUCAGCAGGUGGGUGCUACAAAGGUACCACCCAGACAGUGAGUCUAUAGUUGUCCUAGGAAGGGGCGAGAUCCCCGUACCAGCCUAAAGUGUCCACCACACUUUGGGUCUACGCAACUCAGGAGAUGAAGUGUUUUACGGGUGGGAUGCGGAAGCGAUAUCAUUCAUAAACAGCAGGUACGGGUUCAAGAAUGGAAGCGCAACCAAGAUAGUAACUUUCUGCAAGAUGAUUGAAAGACAUGAAAGGAAGAGCAGUGACGAUUUCAUGCACGCCUGGCUAAUUGUGGUAGUUAGUUCUUUCAUGUGCCCUGCAAUGAGCCUUCACGUCAGCCCUGGAUGCUAUCCAAUAGUCGCCGAACUGGAGAAAGUGAAGAGGAAGAAGAAAGCCGUAAAUUGUUGCGUGCACCAUAUGGUGAUUCUUUGGUGGUCGACAUUCAAGUACCAGAUUGUCCAGUCUGGGCAGAAGCAUGGGACAACAAGCGUAUAGGGCAAGUUGCAAGAGCAGACAAAAAAGAGGGGGGAUAAGGCAAGCUGAGUAGGUCAGGUGGAAGACAAUAGGCAAGAUAAUAUACAAGAUGUCCUUCAGGAUCUUUCUCUAGCAUACAGAUUCAACAUGGGGAAGGGGAGGCAAGUACAGGUGGGGACCAGUAGUAUCACACGAGAGGUACAGAGGGGUAGUCCCAGUAGCUCAAGAACUAAACAGGAAUCAUGCCUUCUGUUUUGUUUUUGCCUAAGGAUUAGUAGGGAUAAUAGUAGUUGGAGAGUACUACCUUGGUGUUUUUGCCGGGAGAAAACUGCCCAGUUUCUCGAAAUUUCUUGCCGAUGUUGAUCCACAGUAUUGCCUGAUCAGCAACAAAGAGUUGCAGAAAAAAAUUGUUGCCUUCUUCA